UCACUCAGGUCCGUGAUCCGGAUCGAGGACAGUGUGUGGUGGGUAGUUUGACUGGGGCGGUCUCCUCCCAAAGCGUAACGGAGGAGCACGAAGGUACCCUCAGCACGGUCGGACAUCGUGCAAUGAGUGCAAGAGCAUAAGGGUGCUUGACUGCGAGACAGACACGUCGAGCAGGUGCGAAAGCAGGUUCUAGUGAUCCGGUGGUUCUGUAUGGAAGGGCCAUCGCUCAACGGAUAAAAGGUACUCCGGGGAUAACAGGCUGAUACCGCCCAAGAGUUCACAUCGACGGCGGUGUUUGGCACCUCGAUGUCGGCUCAUCACAUCCUGGGGCUGAAGUCGGUCCCAAGGGUAUGGCUGUUCGCCAUUUAAAGUGGUACGCGAGCUGGGUUUAGAACGUCGUGAGACAGUUCGGUCCCUAUCUGCCGUGGGCGUUGGAUGUUUGAGAAGAGCUGCUCCUAGUACGAGAGGACCGGAGUGGACGACCCUCUGGUGUUCCGGUUGUCACGCCAGUGGCAUUGCCGGGUAGCUAUGGUCGGACGGGAUAACCGCUGAAAGCAUCUAAGCGGGAAGCCCCCUUCAAGAUGAGACAUCCCCGAGACCUAGAGUCUCCUAAAGGGCCCAGCGAGACCAGCUGGUGGAUAGGCACGGUGUGGAAGCGCUGCAAGGCGUUGAGCUAACGUGUACUAAUGGCCCGUGAGGCUUGACCCU
rnacentral:ncRNA from 1 species